rnacentral:lncRNA from 1 species
GUCUUCCCAAGGUGAAAUCCUAACUUUGCCACUUACUAGCCAUGUGAACUUGGGCAAGUGACCUAAUCCUCUGCAUUUCAUCUCUAAAUUGGGGAGAAUAGAAGCAUCUACUUCAUGUAGUAGCCAGGAUUAGAAGAGAUGGGGCCACUUGAGGGAAAAGACCUACCCAAGGGCACAUAAUCUGUACAUGAGAGAGAGCCAGAUGUAACAGACUGAGUACUGGACUUGGGGUUAAACAGACUGUGAAUCUUUCCACCCCAUUGGCAAGAAUAACUGGGCCCUGGAUAGAAUGUGAUGAAUGUAUAUUCUUAAUGAGAAGUGGAAAUAAUUUGUGGUUGAGAGCUGUGCCUCAGAUCAGAGUGACAGGAUACAUGGCUAGGCUAUAUUUUCCAGCAGAUUAAGAGCUGCGGCCCAAGACUCUGAAAUAUGAAGAAAAAAGGAGAAGAUGACAGCAUAUCUUUUUAAAGAAAUAUUUUCCAGCCAAAUGGUGUAGCAGAGGACUUCCAGGAAUUUGUUCUUGUUCUGUAUCAAAGGUGAAGAGUUCGUAGCCUUCAAGGAAACAAGAAACCAUGGGAUGGAGUGAAGGAAGGUGGCCUGGAACCAGCUGCUGAGCCUCUCUGAGCCCCAGUUUCCUCGUCUCUAAAAUGGGGCUGAUCUCCUCUCCCUCAGACUGUUGUUGCAGGAAUUAAAACAGGUGUUGAGUGGGAAAGCAUCAGUCCCAUAGCAAAUGGCCCCUGAGUAGUAGGAUCUGAGUUCUGGUUCUGGUCCUGCUGGGGUAUGGCUGGUUGAGAGGUCAAAGAGGUUCUUGGAGCCCCACUGUAGAAAGACUGCUGAUAUCCCAGAAUUCCAAGGUGGAUGUGCAGAUGAGAUUUCCAGUGACACCCAGCAGACUUCACGCAGAAGGUGGCAUAGUGUAGAGACGGGGCAUUCAUGCUUUACCCUUAGAGAGGCGUUGCUUUGAAUCUGCAUCUGCCCCUUCUUUUGCCUUUGCCCCUACAGAUUCAGGACCACGGCCAGCACCCACACUGCCUUCCGUAAACACUGAGCUAAAUAAACCUAGAGCCUUGGUGAUGAGAUCAGCACUGCCUUUGUAAGUUGGUUUUCUCAACAAACAUCAACUGAACAUCUACUAAACGUAAGAGCACUCUGGCUGUCAACUGAAAACAGCAGCAGCAGCAGCAGCAGCAGCAACACCACCACCAACAACAACGACAACUGUUGCAUAUAUAACUGAAGAUCCACAGAGUCCCUCUUUCCAGUGUUAGUUGCUACAAGGAGUGAGAGAAUGAAGAUCUGACCUCAAGGAAUACAAGAGUUUUGUUCAAAGUUCCAAGACUAAGCUAUUAGAAGGGAGGGAGGGCCUGGUGCCAUGUCAUCUCUGACCAAGAGAAUUGGUAGAAUAGAAAUAAUCUAUUUCUCACGUGGUCUAGGACUUGACAAUUUACAUAGCAGUUUUAUAUCCUCUACUUCAUUUGACAUGCUCCCAUCACCCUGUGAAGCAUGUGUCAUUGUUACCACUCACUUUCCAGAUAAGGAGAGAUGGGGAGGCUCAGGGAGGUGAAUGGAUUUGCCUGAGGCCACUGGUCAGUGACUGAGCUGGGAUAGGAAUUACUUUCUCUGGUCUCUUGAUCUCACCUCUUUGUCUCACUCUUUCUGCUGCAUCUCAGUUGCUUCUGCGUCUGGCCAGACCCAAAAACAAAUCAUGUAAUUGAGUUGGAAUGUGGGUGCUGGGGCCCGGGAGACAAUGUUUUCUGCUUUUCAAUCUGUUCUUAAUUUAUUAAAGUGAUGAAAUAAGGAAGAGGCCCAGAAGGGUGGAUGUUUUCCAUCAGUGAGUCAGGGGAACAUGCAGAGGCAGAAGGUCAGGAGGAAGCUGCUGUUGCUCCAGCAGCUUCACCCACUCUGGCCAAGUCCCCACAGAUGUGCUGGUGGGGGAGACCUUCUUAGAGCUGCCCCAAGAGUAAAAUAAACCAGAAAAGAGCAAGCCCUACUGGAGACUCUCUCCCUCCCCACAAUGUUAUCUCUGACUACCCGAGCACCUUCCCUCUUAUCUGACAAAUGUCCAUUGUCUAAGGGAGAGACCGAGUGAAGGCAGGAGGAGGCCUAAUUCAGCCUGAGGAGGGUCAGGAAAGGCUUUCUAGAGAAGGUGACACUGGCACCUUAGACUUGAAAGCUGAAAAGAAGUGAUCUGGGAAAGGGGGAUGAGGAGGAGAAAGUGUUUUCCAGGUGGAGGAAAUAGCAGGUGGGAGGUUUGGAGAUAAGAGAGGGAAUGGCUGGAGCCAUCAGGGUGGAGAGAUGAGGCUGGACCGGCAGAGGGGUUGGCAGUGCUGGUAUCCAGAGGGCCUUCCAGGUCAGGUUGUUAUAUCUCCUCUGAGGAAGAGUCCUGAUUGUUAGCUCAAUUUAUGUGGUUAGGCAUAGAGAAUGGAUUGCAGGAGACAGUGGCAACCCAAGGCAAGUAAUAAAAAGGCUAGAGAGUUGGUGGGGCCUGAGUAGGGGGCAGUGGGAAUAGGGAUCAAGAGACAGAGAGGUGGAGGGACG